AUUAUGCCCAAGCCGGGUAAAUCAUGCAGGGAGUUGCUAGCAGGUAGAGCUGGUGUGCACAAUGACAAAUCCACGAGGGUAGUGGUUCAGCCCAAAAAAAGUUAUUCCUGUACCUAUGAACAAUAAUUCACCUACCCAAAGUAAUGCCAAUAUUUUCGACAAUAUGGAGGAGCUUAUUACCUCACCUCCCUCUUCGCCUCCCUCGUCUCAGCCUCAGCAAACAGAGGCCGCAGUCGCAGCUUCCACCUCGGGUGCGUCUGCUGAAGUGAACACCACGAUUCAGAAAAAUCCUCAGAAAAAACCCACUAAAGCUGCGAAAAAAUGGACGGACGAACAAUUGGCAGAACUUAUCAAUGCGUACAAGGACCAUCAAUGUCUAUGGAAUGUGACAGACAGCAAGUACGUUGACAAGAAUGCACGAUCCAGGGCUCUGACAGACAUUCACAGAGAUCUAACAGCUCGAUAUGUCAUCAACAAUAAUGUUACUGUUGAGGAAAUGAAGACACGAUGGAAUGGGCUUCGCAGCCAAUACACUGCUGAACUGCGUAGAGUCCAGCUAAAAAGGAGGACAGGCACUGGAAGAGAAGACAUUAGCGAGGAUGAGGAUGAAGAAGUGGAGCUGGCGAACAUGAAAUUUUUCAUCAAUUUACAUUUCUUGCGGAACUCAGUUUCUAUCCGCACUAGUAAGGCUAACUCACAAGGGGAAGAUUUUUUUGAAGAAUUAAUUCAGGAUGAAGAGAUGCAAAAUGAAUCCACCCCUUUGAGAAGAAAGAGUACCAACACAAAUUUGGGUCCGCCUAUCAAAAGAAAGAAGCAAGAAGAAGUUAAACUAUCUACUUUAAUGCAAACUGCAAACUCUGCGCUUGAGUACCUCAAAGAAAAUCGAGCUCCGCGUCAGCCUCCAGCACCUGCACCAGCCCCUGCCGCGCCAACAGUAAAUGACCAUUUUUCGAUUGUUGGCUCGUAUGUAGCCUCCCAUUUGCGUAAUCUGCCAUCCGAAGACGCGAUCUUAAAAGAGGCAGCUAUUAUGCAGGUAAUGUUUGGGUGA
rnacentral:lncRNA from 1 species